rnacentral:rRNA from 1 species
GCCGCUCAGAACUACAAAGGAAUUGACGGGGCCCGCACAAGCGGUGGAGCAUGUGGUUUAAUUCGAUGCAACGCGAAGAACCUUACCUACUCUUGACAUCCACGGAUUCGCUAGAGAUAGCUUAGUGCCUUCGGGAACCGUGAGACAGGUGCUGCAUGGCUGUCGUCAGCUCGUGUUGUGAAAUGUUGGGUUAAGUCCCGCAACGAGCGCAACCCUUGUCCUUAGUUACCAGCACGUUAUGGUGGGCACUCUAAGGAGACUGCCGGUGACAAACCGGAGGAAGGUGGGGAUGACGUCAAGUCAUCAUGGCCCUUACGGCCUGGGCUACACACGUGCUACAAUGGUCGGUACAAAGGGUUGCCAAGCCGCGAGGUGGAGCUAAUCCCAUAAAACCGAUCGUAGUCCGGAUCGCAGUCUGCAACUCGACUGCGUGAAGUCGGAAUCGCUAGUAAUCGUGAAUCAGAAUGUCACGGUGAAUACGUUCCCGGGCCUU